rnacentral:rRNA from 1 species
UAUUAACUACCCAUAGUAUAUGAAGUGGCAUCUACUUUAUUAAUUAAAGUAUUUAUCACUCGAAGAGUGGCUGUGCGGCUGAUUAGGUAGUUGGCGGGUAAAGGCCCACCAAGCCUGCGAUCAGUAACUGGUGUGAGAGCACGACCAGUCACACGGGCACUGAGACACGGGCCCGACUCCUACGGGAGGCAGCAGUAAGGAAUAUUGGUCAAUGGAGGCAACUCUGAACCAGCCAUGCCGCGUGGAGGAUGAAGGUCCUCUGGAUUGUAAACUUCUUUUAUAUGGGACGAAAAAGGCUUUUCUAAGUCGUCUGACGGUACCAUAUGAAUAAGCACCGGCUAACUCCGUG